CUUGUUGUUUUAGUGAUUUGAAUAGCUUUAUCUCUAAUAAUUGAAACACUUGGCCAAUUGCAAGUUUUUUUCCUUUUUGCAUCUUCUCUGAAAAGUGGAAAAAUGGGAGCCUCAAAACAACUCUUAAAUGACCUGAAAACAAAGAUUGUUCAACAUCAUGGUUUAGGGGAAGCAUACAAAAAGCUCUGUCAGAGAUUUCAGCUGUCAGUUACCCCUGUGAGGAACAUAGUGAGGAAAUGGAAGACCACACGCACAGUUCUAGUUAAGGCCUGAAGUGGCAGACCAAGAAACAUCUCAGAUAAGCAGAAGGAUGUUGAGAAUAGUCAUAGUCAAUCCACAGACCAGCUCCAGAGAUUUCAUUCUGUGGGGCAGUGUGAUCAGUGCAGGUACUGGGAAUCUUGUUAAAGUUGAGGGGUGCAUUAUUCCAGUCAAUAUCAGCAGAUUAUUAAGAACAAUGUUCACAGAUCAGGAACGAAGCUGAAGCUGUGCUGGGGCUGGAUACUUCAACUUGACAACGACCCUAAACACUGCUCAAAGUCUAUUAAAGCACUCAUACAGAGGAACAAGUAGAACUUUUUGGAUAACUCAAAGAUCUUCAAAUUGGAUAUUUACUGCACGGGUGAUUAUGUUUCAGCUGACAAGUUAUUGAAUUCUAACUAAUGCAAUGAGAAGCUUUUCAUUUGUUAAACUCAUUUUGUGUCCUUGAAAAUAUGUUUGUCUGUUUCAGAAGAGUCAAAUUAUCCGAAAAUAUUAAAUUAUGGUAAUUGGCGAUCACUUUAACUUUGUGGUACAAAAACAAUACCAGAGAUAUGUUUAAAAGUGAAGGUAAGAGCAUUUUCACAAGCACAAUGUGAAGGGAAUUCAAGGGAUUGGGGCUAAUCAGCUGUGUAGCUUUAAGAUAACCACUUACCAGUGAGACUAAUCGACAAAAACAACUUCAAUUUGCUAAGGAGCAUAAAGAUUGGAAUCUGGAGCGAUGGAAGGAGAACAUGUGCUUUGAGGAAUCAUGAUUUACCCUGUUCUAGAGUGAUGGGUGCAUCAGGGUUCGGAAAGAGGUGGCUAAAGUAAUGCACCCAUCAUAGUGCAUGUCACAGAAUCCAGACCUGAACCUUAUUGAGAAUUUUUGGGAUGUGCCGGAGAAGACUUUGCACAGUGGUCAAAAUCUCCCAUCAUCAAUACCAGAUCUUGGGGAAAACUAUUGUUGUAACAUUGCAGAGGUGUGUGGAAAAAAUGCGAUAGAGUACAGUAUGCAUACUGUAAUUUAAUCAAAGCUAAAGGAAUCCAUGUAUUUAUUUAUCUCAGUCCAUCUCUUUGCAAGCUGUUUGUUUUUUUUAUUUAUAGUGAUCAAGCUACAUUUCAGCAAAUUACAAAAGCAGUAUGAAUGUUUCAAACAGCAUAUAGAUAAAUUCAACAGAGUAAAUAAAUGGCAGCUCUGAAACAAAAUGUGCAUUCAUACUCUGACUGCUGUGUGAAGCAUUUUAGACAAAAUUCACUUUUAAAAUGAUUUCAGAAGCUGUGUAUAGAUACCCUCUUCUUUAAACAAAAGUUCCCUCAGGUAUUUCUGCUCCCAGCUGCCUGUGAUGCUGUAUCUGUUUGCUUACAUCCGUAAAUGUGUUUAGCUCUGUGCAGCAGUCUGCUAUGAAUGCUGGCCAAAUAGAAAGAGUUUAGCCGUCUGUGGACUGAGAAAACCCUAAACAAAUCAGGAACAAUGUAAACACUGUCCGGUCUGCCCGCAGGAAUGUGCCUACGCUUUCACUUUGUACACAAAGCACCAGCACACGGGCAAAAACUGACCUGCAGCCUCCACUCUGGGGGCCUUUUAAAGACAGUCAUUCUGCCUCAUUGGACACUGCACAAACACACGCACACACAAAUACACCAUACAAUUCAAGCUAAUUACUGUCAAAUAUUUCCUUAUUGGAAACCCAUUUAAUAUAGUCAUUUAGCCUAAACUAUACAGCCUACAGUAGCCUACAUAUACAGCCUUAGCCAUUGAACCUAUCGCAGAUUAGUCCCAGCAAUUUGGCCUACAACAUUUUAUUCCUGUGUGAUUAAAGCUCAUACUGUAGCACAUAAGAGUAGCAGAAUAAAAUGAACAAGAACAUAUUUAUUUACCACAGAAUGUGAUAGAGGCGAGUUUUGAAAAGCCCAUUCAUUUUGCUAUAGACAAAUACAGCUUAGACACAAACCCCCAAGUGUUGGAAAUUCCCUGGGAGCAGGUAAACUACAUAGACCAUAAUUCUUUGCAGCAGGAUAAGGCGGGGCUUAGAGGUUAAAAUGGCACUGUCGGCCAUUUUUUUAUUUCUUUGUUUGGCAUGGUCUGAGAAUUUGAACCUCUUUUGGAUUGUGGACUGAGCUUCCAAUGGAUGUGUGUUUGUAUAAAACCAUCCAUCCUGUAGAUACAACCAUCCUGUAUAAUCUCUCCAUUCACCCUAUGUCUCCCUACAUCAUCUUCCUUCCUCCAUCCAUCCUUUCCUCAGCCAUGCAUUAACUGUCCAUUCAUGCACCUGCUCUGCCUCAUUGUGAAAUAUGCAGUGACUCUGAGAAUAAACUGCAUCAGUUGAAGUCUGUUCAUCCUCCUGUGUUUUAAUGGACACGCAUCACGACAGCCACCCUUCCACCAAAUGCAAUCCAACUAAACUUUACACCAAGUAUGGUCAUACGAUGACUACAGAAGGAUGCAUGACUUUAGUGGUCUAUUCUAUUAGUCCCACCCAUUUAGCUGAAAGAGGUUAAGACCACCAAUUUAGCCUACAGUAGUUUAGCUCCGCCCAUUCAACUUACAGCAGAGCCCCAGUCAUUUAACCUGCAGAAAUUUAGCCCCACCCAUUCAUCAUAAAGCAGUUAAGACCACCCAUUCAGCCUACAGCCAUUUAGCCCAUCCUUCAGCAAUGUAGAAAUGAAAUAUUCCAUUAAUAAUAAUCAGGAGAAUGUCUUCAGUAUCUAAGUCAAAAUUAGCAAAUACAUAAAUGAAUAAACAAUCUUGAAAAACAAAACCUUUCAGAAAAAAAUCUUAUAUCUGACUAAAGUCACAUAUAUUCUGUAGAAAUGUUCUGAAAAUCUUCAUCUAAACAGCUUAGGCAUGGUGUUCUUGCUCACAGAACACCUUCGCAGUCAUCUAAAACAAAUACCAAAUGUUUUCCUACUGGUACUUCUGAGUGCAGCCUUAGAUCACACUAUCCUUUUAGAAGGAUUAAAGAACAUGGUCGGUGUAACUGGAACUGCCAUAUCAUGGUUCAAAUCAUACUUAACCGAUCGUUAUCGGUUUGUGAGGAUAAAUGAAAUGUCUUCCAGUUAUACUAAGCUAAAAUAUGGAAUUCCACAAGGCUCUAUAUUAGGACCGUGAUUAUUUACAUUAUAUAUGCUCCCACUGGGCAAAGUUAUUAGAAAAGGGUUAUUGUUAUGUGGAUGACAAGCAGCUCUUCAUAUCAGCCAAACCUGAUGACAGAGUGAGAAUUAAGAAAAUUGAGUAUUGUGUAAAAGUUGUAAAAUCCUGGAUGUCGCACAACUUCCUCCUAUUAAAUAGUGAUAAAACAGAAGUUCUCCUACUAGGCCCCAAAGCUGCUAGAAGUAAAUUAUCAGACUUGAUGCUAAAUCUGGCCGACUUCUCUAUCACUCCUGGUUCAGCAGCUAAAAAUCUUGGAGUUAUUAUAGAUUCAGAUCUAGCAUUCGAUAAACACAUAUCUAAUGUUACUAGAACAGCUUUUCUACACCUCCGUAACAUUGCCAAGCUAAGAAAUGCCCUAUCACUGCAUGACGCAGAAAAAUUAGUACAUGCCUUCAUUACCUCAAGGCUAGAUUAUUGUAAUGCGCUACUGUCUGGAUGUUCCUGCAGUAACUUAAAUAAACUUCAGCUAAUUCAAAAUGCUGCAGCCAGGGUCCUCACUAAAACUAGAAAAUUUGAGCAUAUUAGUCCAGUCCUGUCAGCAAUGCACUGGCUUCCAGUCAAAUUCCGCAUAGACUAUACUAUUCUUCUUUUAACGUAUAAAGCCCUACACGGGCUCGCUCCUGAGUAUUUAUGAGACCUCAUCUCCUAUUAUGAACCACCACAAUUACUUAGAUCUCAGGGUGCUUUUAUUAGUAGUUCCUAAAAUUUAGAGGAGCUCUGCAGAAGGAAGAGCUUUCUCUUAUAAAGCUCCCCAACUUUGGAAUAAUCUUCCUGAAUAUGUUUGGGACUUAGACUUAGUUUAGCUUUUGGUAAUUAAUGUUUCUCCCUUUAGAUAAGGCUGCAGAUCCAGGGGUUCAUGGACAGAGGGAAUUGUUGUAAACUGAGAUGCUGGUGCUGUUGUUCUCCCACUGCACACGGUCACUCAGGUUUGUGGACGGUGGAGUAAAUGGAUGCCGGUGUUUCAGGGUGCCUCUGUGUCUGUUAUCUUCUCCUUUAGUUAGGCUGUUUUAUUUAGAUCUGCCGGAGUCAUUAGCCACACUAAUAUUCUAUGUUUUCUGUUUUACAUAAAUCCAGUUAAAACUAAUUCCAUCUCUCUGCCUUCCUCCGAGUUACUGACUGCCCACCUGUCUCACCCAAUACCGAUAGAUGUUGGACCCCAGGCUCUCAUGUCUCCUGUCCAGCCAGACUGAUGGAAGUUUCUGAAGUCAGCUCUUCUCCAUCACCCACCACAGAUCAGCUGCUCAUCAUCCAUCUUACUCUCCACUGAUUACAUCCAAGCUUCCAUGAACUCUAAUGGCUUCCAUUAGUGGUGCUGCUAUACUCCUGAAUUUAUAAAACCUAUGUGGACAUAUAAAAACUUUAAAAAAUUCAUUUAAAAACAUUUGACCAGUGGUAGGAUGGUCCCCCCUUAAAUGUGAGUUUUGGUCCUCUCAGUGUUUCUUCUUCCUCCUUCAGCUCUGAGGGAGUUUUUCCUUGCCUCUGCGCUCACUGGGGGUUUCUUUAUUUCUUUAAUGUUUUGCCUGAUUCUUUGUCCUGUGAUCAUGUUUCUGUAAAGCUGCUUUGUGACAACACCAGUUGUAAAAAGCGCUAUACAAAUAAAUUUGAUUUGAU